GGCUUUGUAGCUCAGUUGGUAUAGCACUCGUCCCGUUGAGGCAUGGUGUUUCUGUCGCUGGUUCGAAUCCAGCCGAAGCCC